rnacentral:rRNA from 1 species
AGUGAACGCUGGCGGUAGGCCUAACACAUGCCAGUCGAACGGCAGCACAGUAAGAGCUUGCUCUUACGGGUGGCGAGUGGCGGACGGGUGAGGAAUACAUCGGAAUCUACUUUUUCGUGGGGGAUAACGUAGGGAAACUUACGCUAAUACCGCAUACGACCUACGGGUGAAAGCAGGGGAUCUUCGGACCUUGCGCUAUUGAAUGAGCCGAUGUCGGAUUAGCUAGUUGGCGGGGUAAAGGCCCACCAAGGCGACGAUCCGUAGCUGGUCUGAGAGGAUGAUCAGCCACACUGGAACUGAGACACGGUCCAGACUCCUACGGGAGGCAGCAGUGGGGAAUAUUGGACAAUGGGCGCAAGCCUGAUCCAGCCAUACCGCGUGGGUGAAGAAGGCCUUCGGGUUGUAAAGCCCUUUUGUUGGGAAAGAAAAGCAGCAGGUUAAUACCCCGCUGUUCUGACGGUACCCAAAGAAUAAGCACCGGCUAACUUCGUG